UGGGGUUGUGUAACAUAUGUAUAUUUUGUUAUUUGUUGCGAUCGUUUUUUCUCAGUGCAUGUGCAAUAUCGCCUAGCUCUGUUAUGACCAAAAUAAGGUAAACAGAUCCUAACGAAAGUGUUGAUAAACAGUGCGGAAAAGACAACAUCACUUUUACUCUGCCGGUCGCCAUCGCGUUUUUUUUCUUCCCGCGAGUUGUUCCGGUUGGUUCUGCCGUUUGCCGAUAUUGGCCCGUUGAGAAGCUGCCACGGGACUCACCAAUCAACGAACGCCAGGUCAGUAGCAGAAAUUUGCCGGAAAAGCUGCCGAACAAAUUCGACACCAUCCGACUCACCAAUUUUCCUCCCACAGUCGCACGCAGAACGCUGGAAGCGAACCCGGGAAAAGCCGACAGAAAAGUCGGGACAGGAUCCGCUGGACGUGAGGGAGCCGACACCUCCCGCCGUGAGAGGCCAAUUUGCCAGAGACGGAGCUAUUCGGAGAGCGGACAUCCCUCAACAAAACGUUGCGACGUGAAACCACCCACUGAAAUUCAACGGUUCGGACGCAGUCAACAAGAACCGGUAAGUGAAGCAUCUCUGAGGGAAUAACAAAUGGCUAAUGUUUUGCUUUUGCAUCAGAUUGGGACAGCCAAGUUCGGCAUCGACCAAGCCGCCCAGAAGUUGCUAUUCUCAGGCCCCAGAUUGGGGUUUUUCUGAGGAGCUGAGGCCAAGCGUCGAGAGAGCUGAACUGGACCAUCGAGACUCUUCAGCGACAGCGCCGGUUCCCGGAUUGGAAGGCGAUCGCCCUCUUCCAGUGGUGCUCAAAUCCGCUUUGGUCAUCUGAUGACGUAGGAGGUCGCUGCAAAGAGUAAGAACGAGAAAAAAGAAGUAAGUGCUAGAUCUUGUAAGAAGAAGAGGCAGAAAGAAGGACAGAAGCGAGAUUAAAAGGAGAAUAAGAAGAGAAAGAAGAGCGCG